AGUUACUUGAUAAGACUUCACAUUGGUGAUUAAGGCCAGUCCUCAAUUCUCUACUAUGAUGCAAUGGGAAACUUCUCAAUGCUGCCUGUUGGUUUCUGCAAAGGAAGACGUGCGUGCAUUUUAACAAUUGAUCAUGCUUUUUCCUACUGAGACCAAAUCUUGACUCUGAAUGAAAGAAAAAGACUUGCAUUUACGUUGCACCUAAGGGUGUUCCAAACUGCUAGCAAACCUGGCAUCUAAUUUGUUCAUGUUUAAACAAAAGAACACUAAUGGUAUUCCACCUGACAUUCCAAGGACAAAGCAUGAUGUAGAGCAUGGGUGGCAAGAUCAGCAUUUAUAUCCCAUCCUAACUGCCCUCAGGAAAGUGAUGGUCAAGUCUGCCUGCGGACAAAUCUGUAACCAUCGUAACCAACUGGUCUCAAUCCCGGAAAUGCAUUGAUUCCCUGGCAUUGGUGGAUCGCACAGUGAAGAAAAAAAAGAUGCUGAAAAAAGGCAGCUUUAAAUUAUUCUCCAACCUUAUUGCCAUAUAUUGUGUGUUUUGUACCUCGCAGAAGGUCCAGACCUGACUGUCACCAGGUUCUGUAUGUGAACAGGAGUUUUAUUACAAUUCUUUUAAAAUCUC